rnacentral:lncRNA from 1 species
CAGAAGCCUAAGAGAGUUCUUCCAGAGCUGUCAACCUCUGAUCUAUGAUUCCAACACGGUCUUCAUCUUAUGCAAAAAUGUCUGGUACCUUCUAUUAAGGUCAUGUUUCCUCCAAUGACUGGUGGUCUUACAAAAUAAUGGUAACUACAGUGGGAGACGGAAAGUAGUAUGAUGCUGUUAAAGCCAGAGAAGCCAAAAUACAUUUCAUUCUUCAUUUGCAAGGAGUUGAUGACCUGCAGAGCCCCAAAAUGACUCAGAUGAAACUGUGAUCUCCCAAAUACUCGGGAAAGCAAGGAGAACCUCCUAUUGGUGAG